GCGAGAGGGACACGCUGUGUGAGGUUGCUGCAGGAACCGACUACCGGAGCCGUGGGUCGUCGCACGAGAGUGUUUGAGUAUGAAUUAUGUGCGGAAUUGGCCAGGUUGGAUGGCGAGCUUAGAGCCCCGAACUAGAGUCUGAAGCUUUAUGCCUGGAACCAAACCACCUGAACUGAACUGAAUCCACCCAACCGAGCCCCGGGCUGGUAGGAGGAUCCUCAGCAGCCGCCCUCUGUUUUCCCUUUUUUUACCAAAACGCAACGUGUUCAUUGCGGUCCUCCUGAACAUUCACUUUUUCCCCGUCCCUUCAAUAAAACCCUUCUGAACACUGCCACCACAACGUGGACUUUGCGGGGCCCGUUUAAUGAACUCUGAACUCGUGUUGCGCUUAUACCAUUGUUGGUAGAAAACAAGGACUGAAUCAAGUACACUGAUUUUGUAAAUAUUGAAAGUUCUGUGAAUUAUUGAAUAUGUGA